rnacentral:rRNA from 1 species
GACGAACGCUGGCGGCGUGCUUAACACAUGCAAGUCGAACGGAAAGGCCCUGCUUUUGUGGGGUGCUCGAGUGGCGAACGGGUGAGUAACACGUGAGUAACCUGCCCUUGACUUUGGGAUAACUUCAGGAAACUGGGGCUAAUACCGGAUAGGAGCUCCUGCUGCAUGGUGGGGGUUGGAAAGUUUCGGCGGUUGGGGAUGGACUCGCGGCUUAUCAGCUUGUUGGUGGGGUAGUGGCUUACCAAGGCUUUGACGGGUAGCCGGCCUGAGAGGGUGACCGGCCACAUUGGGACUGAGAUACGGCCCAGACUCCUACGGGAGGCAGCAGGGGGGAAUAUUGCACAAUGGGCGGAAGGCUGAUGCAGCAACGCCGCGUGCGGGAUGACGGCCUUCGGGUUGUAAACCGCUUUCGCCUGUGACGAAGCGUGAGUGACGGUAAUGGGUAAAGAAGCACCGGCUAACUAAGUG